rnacentral:rRNA from 1 species
AUGGAGGUUGUCAAAUCUGCAGUUGUUGGCGAACUUGUGAGCCGGUUCAUCUCCUUCCUGAUGAACAAGUACCACUCCAACAGCCAUGCACAAUCAGAGAAGGUGGUGGAGAGGUUGCAGCGCCUCCUGAUGAGAGUCAGCACAGUCGUUGAGGAGGCAGAUGCGCGGUACAUAACCAACUCUGCGAUGCAGUUGCAGCUCAAGAUGCUCUCAGAGGCCAUGUAUGGAGGAUACAGUGCGCUGGACACCUUGCGGCACCGAACCAUCCAAGACAGUGCAGGCUUCGAUGAGGUUAGCAUCAACGACUCAUCUUGCAGCAACUUGUAUUUAGACAUUCCCCUCAAGCGUUCUCGAACAACUGAGAAGAAUGAUAAGACCAUGCGCCUUGAGUCUCAUGGUUCCUUGGAAAGCUUAGAAGUCGUAGUUGCUAACAUGACAGGAUUUGUUAUGCUUCUAGGUGGAUGUGAACGCAUGUCUCGUAGACCAUACGAUGUGUAUCUUUACAUUGAAAAUUUCAUGUUCGGCCGACACGCAAAAACUCUUGAGCUUCUUCUUGCAGCACAACAACCCUCCUGA